UAAUCCAAAUUGUUUACAAAGCAAAUUGUUGGAGCAUCGAAAAAGGUCUGCAUUUUUGUAUACUUCUGGUUUCCUUUUCCCGUUUUGGAACUUUAAUUUUUCACAAAAUUUCUUUUCUACUCUGAUGCCAUUUUUUGCCUAGGUCCACUUAAGGAUUUUUUGUUGAUUUUCAUUCUCUGAUCUGGAAAGAAGGGCACAUAUAUAUUUCUAGUAAUGUAUUUAUAAUACUUUUGUGCAAGAUCUAGCACUCGAAAGUACAAUUUGUCACAGUCAUUCAAAUCAGAUUUAUAAACUCCUUUGGCCUGACAAAACAAAUUAAAAAGCAUUAUUUUAAAUCAAAUGGAAGCUGAAGUUAAAAGAGAUACUGAGGUCCUUACUACACUGUAAAUGUUCUCUUUUACAGCCUUUAAACAGUACAAAAUUUGAGUUGUAUAAAUCCUAUGUGCCUUUUUUAUUUUGUUAGUUUUACUCAUGUCCAGUUAGUAAUCUUAUUAAUUAUGGCAAGUGUAUGUGCUUUUUAGAUUUACUGAUCCACUUACACAUUUAGUUUGGUGCAUAUAAAUAUAUUAUUAACAAAUAAAUAUUUAAUAGAUUCAGAUGUAAUUUUACUGAAUAACUUAGCCAUGUUCUUUUGUGGUUUUAUAGGAACUAGCCACAAUGAAACAGAUUCUAAUUAGUCUGCAUGGUAAACACUAUGAACAAAACUUACCUCACUCUCAUACUGACGUAAAAAGUGUGACUGCAAAAAACAAAUCGAAUCCUUCAGGAAAACCGUUUCCAGAACAUGAAGAAGAAAAUAUAUUUACACCUAAGCCAACGUUAUUUACAAAUAAAGAGGCACCUGUAUGGUACAAGAAACUGCAGAAGAAAACAUCACCAUAGCAUUUUUCCAGAAUUACUCAAAAUAAUCUUUUGGGAAUAUUUUCUUGGAAGAAAGUUAUUUUCACCAUAAUGAUGCCCUUUUUACCAUAAAAACAAACAACUGUUUUGGUUUAAACUGUUUUUUUGUACCUGUUAAAUGAUCUUAUGCUUCAUAAAAUACUUUUUAGAUCUGUCGUGUGAAUAAGUGUGUGGAAAUAAUACAUGAAAUUAUUUUACUAACAUGUAUUUGAAUUUUAAAAGAUAAAUAAACACUAGCAUAUUGUACACAUUUAUAAUCCACGCAGUUAAAGGACGUGUUAUUUAGAGUGUUCAAAUUAAUGCACAUUUCAGGUAUUUUAUAUUGUUUUUCUUGGACCCUGUGUUUUUGUGCCACAUUCCUUGCAACUAUUCUGCCUCAUAAAAAUUUCAAACAUAUACGUGAGUUAACAUCAAACUAUAUACUGCUUUCUGUGAAGGAAAUUCAUGUCAGGUGAAAAUAAAUAAUUUUUUAUCAGCCUUAAUUUGUAUAAUUUGUUAUUUGAUAUAAUUUGUUCUACCAGACAGGCAUUAAAAAUUCUGAAGAAGCAAUGAAUACAUCUUAAUUACCAGCAUUGAUUCCUUAUUGGCUAGAUACACUUGCUCUGGUAUAGUUGCAUCAGUGUAAUAAUAAAAUUAGGCCAUGAUGUGUGAUUAUCAUGCAAUAGUGAAAUGGAUAACUUUGCAUAUUUAGUUGUAUGAAAAUAAGCCACAUCUUCCAAAAACACAGUCUACUUAUUUAUUCGGCUCCACCAUUUAUUUAGACUAUAGAAAAUGUCUCUCAUAUUUUAAAGCACUUUUGUCUGCAUAUGGUACCUUUCUGUAUAUAACAUAAAUAUAAAAGAUAUUGUUUAAGUCACUGUACACUGAAAAUAUUGCUCAGAUUUAAUUUAAAAGGAAGCUUCUUUUCCUUACCUCCUCUUUCCUUGACAGUAUCUCUUCAACUGAUUCAUUGUUCCUACCUGGACAUGAACAAUAAUUACUUCCUGUAUAAUACAAAGCUUAAUCUUAUCAAGCUUAUGAUUCCUAGAUACAUUUUUCUUUGUUUUCCAAACAGCAGUUUGACACACAGCAAUACUUCCUCUGCUACAGGUAAACUUCAGUUUCUUUAUUGGUGUCUUUUUUCUAAUUCUGAGAGUAAGGUAAAAAUGCACAUCACUGGUUUAAAAUUAGCAUUCUGUGAGUGAGGGAGGCCAAGUGCACAGACAGAGCUGGUAUGUUUUACUAGACUAACUGGUGUUCACUGGGAAAUAAAUAGACAAACCUUUGGUCUCACAAG
ensembl:lncRNA